rnacentral:tRNA from 1 species
GUCGUCGUGGCCGAGUGUUUAAGGCGACAUACUAGAAAUCUGUUGGGCUCUGCCCGCACAGGUUCGAAUCCUGUCGGCGACG